rnacentral:rRNA from 1 species
UAAUACAGAGGGCCCGAGCGUUAAUCGGAAUCACUGGGCUUAAAGAGUGCGUAGGCGGACAUGUAGGUACCUUGUGAAAUCCCUCGGCUCAACCGGGGAAUUGCUUGGUAAACCACAUGUCUUGAGGCAGGUAGGGGUGGUCGGAACGCUAGGUGGAGCGGUGAAAUGCGUAGAUAUCUAGCGGAACGCCAACGGAGAAGUCAGGCCACUGGGCCUGUCCUGACGCUGAGGCACGAAAGCGUGGGUAGCGAACGGGAUUAGACACCCCGGUAGUCCACGCCGUAAACGAUGCGAACUAGAUCGAGGAGGUUUGACGCCCUCUUGGUCGAAGCAAAAGUGUUAAGUUCGCCGCCUGGGGAGUACGGUCGCAAGGCUA